GUAAACACCUGAUUGACAACUUGUGAGUCUUCAAGCAGAAACGAUGACAACACCUGCUCAGAGCUCCAGUUUCCUGACGUCUGUAUGAGACUCUGUCCCGCCGGUCUUCAGUCGUCUGUCUCGUUAAGACUAAUUAGAGAGGAGACGUCUCCUGGGCUGACAACACCUCAGCGGUGGAGGAUAAAGCUCAACAGCAUCUGUAUAUUCAGAUGAGACCGAGGAGAGCCAACUUCCCCCCGAAAAAGCUGCUCGUCAACGUUUACAGAUGCACCGCAGAGAGCUUCCUAACAUACUGCAUGACAGCUGCACCAAAGCUGACAACAAAAAAAAGGCCUCCAGCGUGUGUGACUGAUUUUUUUAUUCAUGGUGUUUAUUCAUUUCCACUAUGGAUUAUCCUUCAUAUAUAUAUAUAUAUAUAUAUAUAUAUAUGGACACAUACAACUCUGCUUCAUGAGUCUACUGGACAGUUAUUGGAUCAGAUCAAUCUGUUUUUAACAGAACGUGUAAAUGUAAAAACAUUGUAUCUUGGUUUACAAUGAGCUUUAUUAUUAAUUAUCAUAAGUAGCUGUUGGCUAUAAAUGUCUUAUGUGUUGUUCUGUAUUUUUUUUGCAUUGAAAUUCUGGCAGUUGAACUUUGAACUAAAAUACUGUAACAUAUCAAACUGUUUGUUUAUCACUGAGAUAGAAUUAGCUUUACAGUAUCUGUUCUUUUUAAAAUAGUUUACUGUAAACAGGUUUAUAAUAUAUCUGUUUUUUUCAUAGCAAUUUACCAUAAACAAACAACAGUUCCCAACAAACAAAGCAUCCUGUAAUGUUUUAUACAUUGUCACCGUAUUUUUACGGUGAUGUUCUGGCAAUCACAGCUGCCAAUAUUCAAUAAAAUAAAUCACACAGAACUUUAUUUACAGUGUAGAUAAGAGUUGAAAAUAAAUGAAAAACCAGCUGAAGCUGCUUUGUUGGAA